AUACUUCUUCUUGUAAAACGAAUCCAGAUUAUAACACGUUGUAUACCUGAAAUGUAAAUUGGAGUGUCACAUGUGUCGCUACGUAGUAAUCAUGUGAUUAAUCCGAUUGAUGAUGGUGAUGGCUUGUUAUUUAAUCAAUGACUUCCUGCCACAUGAUUGACACAUGCAUUGUCGAACAAUAAAUAAUAAGAGUCUGUCUGGCAAAGACCUAGACAUUUUAAAGCAUCAUAACACAUAAGAUGCCUCAUGGCAUUAUGGAUGAUGUACCCAUCAUUUAGUUCCGCCAGAAACAAUGAUAAUUGCUUGAUGAUAACCUCUAUUAACUAUAAUUUGCUCACUUUGUAUUUGCCUUUAUUCUUUUCUCACUUACUUCCUGGGAACAUAAGAUUCUGAUUUGUUGCCACCAGAAUCAUAUUUUGAUU